CGGGCACUUGGAUACUCUUAAAAUGUUUCCAUGCCUCAUAGAAACUUUCUCCUGCCAUCUGUCUAAAGACAAUAAUCUCUCUUUUGAUCUG
rnacentral:snoRNA from 1 species